CUGCGCGCACUCGGGUCACCAUACUGGGUGGUCUCCUCCUCUAGAAUUUGUUCGGGAACCAGCCCCGCUCGCUGAUGACUGUAUUGGUAUUAACGACCUAACUUGGCCAAAGCUUCCGCCCCACACGCUGACAGUUAGCCGGUUAUUCUGAGAACAUUCUUUUCAAAACAGUUGACAUGACAAACAGGCUGAGAGGUCCCUUUGUCCACAGCCAGCCUCUGAAACUGAGCUGAUGCUCACAGGGCUGGAAGGUGUUGGCAGUGCAGGAGGUGGAAACGCUUGAGAACGGGGCUGGGGAAGAUGGUCAGUGACCGCUUGUUCUGCCGCGAACGUGGAUCAUUUGUGCUCUUACCAAAGCGGAGCUUUUCAUUCCUAAAAUAUAACCGCCCUGCGCAGGAGCUCGAAGAAAAGGCAGCCUCUCCAGCAGAACUUUGCUGCCAAGCACCCUGCCGCGGAAUGAAAGCUUUGGCUCAGGGUAGGCCUGGCGACUUCCGACACCACCUUUCUUUUCAUCUCCGGCUUCCUGUGGCUCCGGGCUGCACACUGGGGUAGGGACUGAGGCUGCUCUUGGCCCCCUUGGGGCUGCGCUUGCCACUGGGUGGGAGAGCUUGCUUUAUUCUGCAGACACCUUUCUGGAUCACGGAAAUCGACAGAAUAUUGGCACUCUGCUUCCUCUUUUGGUCUCGACUCUUGGUCUCAACUUCAGUGUCACCUUCUCAGAGAGGCCUUUCCAGACCGUCCGGCCGGGGUUGAGCACCUCUUUCUUCUUCCUCAUGUACUUUUCUUCUCGGCUGUGAUCGCCACCAUCACUUAGUGAUUGAGGAGGAGAUGUUUCAUGCCUGUCUUUCCCACACACGGCAAACCCCAGGAGGGCAGCGGCCGUCUCUGUUUUAUUCAGUUCUGAUUCUCCACCACCGAACGUAGGACCUGGCAGAGAGAAAAGCUCCAUAAAUAUUUGCAGAGUGAAAAGGGUGGCAUCCAUCCACCUGCGCUGGAAGAGUUCACCAAAAGUAUCAGACGGGGGAGUGAAGUCUCAGAGGUGAUUCUCAACGGUGCGUUUGGGAUUCGUGGAGAGCGGUGACCUGCUUACGGGAGGAGAGCCGCGAUGGAGGAGGAUGGGGUCAGGCACCCUGACCUGGCCACGUUGUUGGUGAAACGCAGGGGUCCUCGUGAGGGGACAGCCCAGCCUCGGCUGGUUUUCUCCGAGCAGACGAUCUGUAGAGCGUGUGGUUCUACAGAAGCACUUUUAAGUGACUAAGAGGCACAAAGAAUGUUCGUGAUGCAGGCAGUCGGGGGCGGUGGUUCAUGACGUUUUUAGGUUCAUUUCACCCUUCGUCUUUGUUCAGUGUGCAUUUAUCGAACCCCCUCUGUGGGAAGCAGAAUUACGGCUCCACAACGAAGCCCACGUCCUAACCUCUGGAACCUGUGAAUAUAUGUAUAUGUUACGAGAUAAGGGGGUCAAGGCUGCAGAUGGAAUUAAGGUUGCUAACCAGAUGACCUGCACACAGGGGGUGAUCCUGGGUUAGCAGGGUGAGCCCAGUGUAAUCACACGGGUCCUUGAAAGCAGAAGAGGGUCAGAGUGACGUGAUGUUGAAAGAGCUGAACCCGUUGUUAACUCUUAAGAUGAAGGAAGGGCUGAGCCACGGAAGGCAGGCGGCCCCUGGAAGCUGGAACGGAUGGAAACGAUGCUCCCCCAGAGCCUCCGGAAAGGAGCACGGCCCUGCCGACACCUUGACCUUAGCCCAGGGAGACCCACACAACUGUAAGAUAAUAAACCCGUGCUGUUU